GCAGCAGCCUGAUCCGACUCUUGCCAGCGGUGGGAUGUGUACGGGCUGGGCCGGUGAAAUCAGGCGGGCCUGGGCCUGGAGCCUGGAGCCAGGCUAUUGGUGGCUGUUCCAAUUCAGAAUGAUCAUGUCGAACCCAAUCCUCAAUCAGUCUGUGUUUUUACUGGUGUUGAGGAGUAACGAGGUGGUAAAUGCUGCAGGAAGACUAAUCCAGGGCUUGAAAUCUUCACUUUCUGAAGUUGAAUCUCUUCACAUGGUCUAACUGAGAGUGCACUGUUCAAUGUAAUCAUGAGACUGGUUGUGAAGAUUUUCUUAGUCCCCUGAUGGGAAGAUACGAGUUUGAAAUGAUGAAUCAGUGAUGAUGCUGAUAAACUUAUUGAUCUAAGGAGCAAAUGUCAGAUGCGGGCACAACGACUUAAGUGCACUAUUUCAGCUCAUUGCAAGACUGGUUUGGAGUUUCUUAGUCCAUCAUGUAGAUGCUUGUUUGAAAUGAAGAUUCAAAGAAUGAUAAUCGAACCAAUUGAUAACUGAGGUGCAAGUGAGAAAUUGCACUGUGUUGGCAUCAGUCUGAGACUGUUUGGAAGGAGUUUCUUAGCUGCAGUUUAUGAAGCCGUUUGAAAUGAAGAAUUGAGGAGUCGAUUUAAUAUUGAAGGAGUUAACGGGAGCUUCACGCAGUUAUUGGAGACCUUCAAGAUUACAGAGUCUGCCAUUCACAAGCAAGACCAUCACUCACUGUCCUUGGAUACAAUAAUCAAACUCAUCUCUGGCGUUAAAGUUUAGUCAGCUGCCAAAAUAAAAGUGUUCUGGAAAAAAAAGAACUGCGGAUGCUGUAAAUCAGGAACAAAAACAAAGUUGCUGGAAAAGCUCAGCAGGUCUGGCAGCAUCUGUGGAGGAGAAAACAGUUAACGUUUCGGGUCCAGUGACCCUUCUCAGAACAGUGUUCUGGAAAGCCCUGCGCUGGUUCUGCAACAUAUGGUUGACCUUAAAUCCUUGAAGUAAAAUGUGCUCAUACAGACCCUACUAUCUAGUAUCAUGCUGCUUCCCAAUCUUGUGUCCCACUCUAGACUCUUAAAUUUAUGGUCAUCUUGCUAAUACUGUAAUUACAUUUCAAUAUUUUAAAGCUGCUUUAAUUUGAAGGUGUAGCAUCAGAUUGUGACUGUUUCCGAAUUCUCCUACUUCAGUGUAACACCUUUAUACUAUGCUGCAACAUUGUACCUUAAUAAAAACAUCUUACCUCACAUUAAAUAUUGCAAAUCAAA